AAAAAGAAUCGGCCUGUCCGGUGCCCCAAGCCUGAAGCUAGGGGUUCUUUCCUGGGUGUUCCCUAAUCUGGUCUUUGGGCAAGUAAGAUGAGCACCUGCUUGGCAGAGCUUGGGGGACGUGGCAGAGCCAAGGCGGGUCGCUGAGUUUAGCAAGCUGCUGCCCAUCUGGACGUGAUAAGAGAAACAAUAAGCCCAGGAUGGAUGCCCAACUGUGAGGAAGACUAAAUUGCGGUGAGGAUAGGGCGUGCUAUAGGACGAGGAGUGAUCGGGAAGGCCUCUGGAGGUAUCAGUUAAACAAGGAUGAAUCAACAUGAACCUUGAGUAACGCAAGGGAUGAGUGCCCAGGGCUAAGGCAAAAACAGGGAAGAUCCCCGUCAGCAAGAUGCCUGUCAUGUUGAGGAAAAGGCAGAGCAGGAAGGUCUGGAUUCUCCACGAAUGCCUGCUUAGAGGAAGACACACCUGGGAACUUAAGAGAUGGGAAUGCUCCAGUUCCACUCCGAACUGAACUGAUUCAGCAAUCUCCAGGAUACCAACUGCACCACCAGCAUGACACACCUGCCCAUUAGCCUGUAUCUAAAGUUCCCAGAGAAAUGAAAGAAAAUUGUUUGCUGGGAAGCUUAAUUGAAAAAUCUGUUUGAAAUGGCCCAGGAGGUAGCCCAAAAUAGGUUUCACACUCAUGUAUAUCAGGAUCUUGGUCAUGAUCCAGCCGGAGAAGGACAAACUCCAAACUGCAUGCGUAUGAGAGCUAUUCUUCACUAAACUAAAAAUCAACCUGAGCUGCCAUUUUGAAGCCUUUGUUUAAAAGCAACUAAAAUUAAACCGUAAAGACAAUAUUUCGAGCCACGUUUUCUGAGGCACACAUAUUCAAGGCAAUCUCAAUUCUGUUAUGUUAGACAUUUGACUUUUUCCUCUGCCAGAAGAGAAAAUACUGGACACUCUAUUUUGAGUUGUUACUCCCACCCCCUCAACAUACCUCCCACACUUCCUAAGCACCUAUUCUGGUUUAUUAAAUUCAA